rnacentral:rRNA from 1 species
UACGUAGGGAGCAAGCGUUGUCCGGAAUAAUUGGGCGUAAAGCGCGCGUAGGUGGCUUCGUAAGUCCGUUGUGAAAGUCAAAGGCUCAACCUUUGAAAGCCGAUGGAUACUGUGAAGCUAGAGUACGGAAGAGGCGAGUGGAAUUCCUGGUGUAGCGGUGGAAUGCGCAGAUAUCAGGAGGAACACCAAUAGCGAAGGCAGCUCGCUGGGACGUUACUGACACUGAGGCGCGAAAGCGUGGGGAGCGAACAGG